GUAUUAUUGAAUAAUAGUGUAAGGAAUGCCUUUAUUUUGUAGUAACCUGAUGACGUCUGUACCGGGGGGAGUCCCGUGCAUGCGCACACUAGUGUACGGUUACGGCUGGAGAAGAAGCCUAAUAAAGACACACUCCGAUUACGUCGUUGUACGAGCCUUAUUACAAGAAUAACCCGACAUGGUGUCAGAACUGGGCGACUUGUAAGCGGAGUCAAAAGGAAAAAAAAAUAGAAAGACGAGGAAGAGGAAAGUAUAUAGUUUACGCGGGAAUGGGAGAUGAGCCGGCAGCUAUGGCGCAACCUACACCAACUGCUACGUUCACAAUACAACCUCCAGAGCCUUACAAAGCCUCAAGAUUGGGAGCGUUGGAUAAGGAGAUUCGACCGCUUUCGGCUUGCAAGCAACUUAAACGCGACGUCGGAAGAAAACCAGGUGAACACGUUAGUGUAUUGCAUGGGCGAUGAAGCUGAAGAUGUGCUUAAAGGGCUAACGCUAACUGCGGAUGAGAGGAAGGGGUACACGGAUGUCAAGGCGGGCUUGGAUGCAUUUUUUGUGCCUAAAAGGAAUGUAAUUUACGAAAGAGCCAAGUUCAAUCAGCGUGUGCAACUGCCAGGAGAGACGGUGGAUUCCUUCAUCACUGCUCUAUACGGAUUAGCUGAACACUGUAAAUAUGGACAGUUAAGGAACGAGCUGAUCCGCGACAGGUUAGUGGUCGGGCUGAGCAACGUCUCAUUGUCAGAAAAGCUACAGCUAGACAGAGACCUUACCCUUGAAACUGCUAUAACUAAGACAAGGCAGUCUGAAGAAGUUAGAAGACAGCAGUCUGACUUAAGAGGAGAAAAUAGCGGUGCAAGCAGGUGCUCUAAUGUUGAUGCUGUGCAUGCUAAAAGCUACAGAAAAUUUCCCUCAAAGCCUCAGGCACAAUCACCAGGCAGAAGUAAACCUAAUGCAUGGCCACAGUCAGGCUCAAAGGCCUGUUAUAGAUGUGGAAAAAUGCCCUCGCAUGGAAUAAUGGAAUGCCCUGCUAAAGAUGCUGUGUGUCACAACUGUGGCAAAAAUGGACAUUAUGGCAAGGUGUGCAGAAACAGUGCGAAAUCUCUGAAUGCUGUCACUACAGGGGAAGAAGAGUGCUUUUUCCUGGGGGCCGUGGAUUCUGGAGAAGACCCGUGGACGGUGCAGCUACAAGUGAGACAAAAAACAUUGUGCUUCAAAAUAGACACUGGUGCUGAUGUCACCGCCCUGCCAGCCGAGGUGUACCAUGACAUUACAGGGGGGCAUGAUGUGAAGCACCUGGCAGAGUCGACACGCCCAUUGUUUGGGCCAGGUGGCAAUGUACUCUCUGUCCUAGGUGUAGCCAGAGAAACACUGCACUGUGGCAAAAAGACAGCCAUAGAGGACAUUUAUGUCGUAAAAGACCUGCACACUGCACUGUUGGGAAGGCCUGCCAUAGAAAAGCUU
rnacentral:lncRNA from 1 species